UGUGCCGCCACACUUUGCUACCACCGGCAGCCCUGACCCUGCCCGAUCGAGCCGAGGGAGAGCUCCGCCGAGCCGGGACACAGGUAACGGCCUAGGCCUAGCAACGAGUUGCGACAUCGGGACCUGCCGGCCCGCAGUGCCGGCCCGCAGUGCCGGCCCACCCCUGGCUAUACAGAGCUCUCAGUCGGACUGCUCCAGCCCUUCAACCUGGAUCCUGCUUUGCCUGCUGACCACCCGGUGACUUCCUGAGAGCCACGGAAGACCUCUCUCGUGUCCGUGGGCCUUCUCAGCCACCUGCUCAAUGCGGGCUGCACAAGCCGCAAAGCCGCAUGGCACCGGUGCCCCGUGAAGUGCUCCAGGUGGCUGCGACUUUACUGUUUGCCCGUUUAUAUCGAGACUCUUAACCAUCUCACUGACCUGGAGGUUCUGAAUCCACCACUCAUUCAGGACAGACCACAUGGCCAUCUUCACAAUAGUGGGAAGUCUACUGUGAGUCAUGCUUGGUGAAAACAUUUUACUUUGAAGCAUUCAUAACUUAAAGAGGAGGCACUUCUAGAUUGUGCCAAAGAAGAAGAGAUAAGAUGUUGUAAGCAGCAUGGGAACUCCCGAUCUAAGUGGUCAUUUUUCCAGAGGAAGACUAAGGAUGGUAUCUGGAAAGUCAGUUCCUCCUUUCAACACCACAUGGGCUGAAUUCCUGAUCCAGUCUCAGUGCCUACAAAAUCCCAAUGGGAGCAGAUGUACCUAGACCAUCUUCAAGACCUGAAAUUUUGUCCUUUCAUGAUGGAUUCUGCUCUCUACUCCUUGGAGGGGAAAACAGAGAGCAGACUUGAUGGCUGUUAGCUACUGCAAGAGCUAAUUACAAGAAAGAGAAGGAAUCUGAAACCACUGGGACAUGCAGAAGCUUUGCUUUUCGUGCUGGUACACUGAGAAAUUUCAGCUGAGGCUUUGGAAGAUGAGUUGACUGAUUUAUCCAAGAGGUCAGAUAACAAGCAAGGCAGGAGGUAUUGUGCAAAACUAAAGAACAUGCACAAUGUUGCUUGGCAUCAAUGUAUAGCUAAUAUCCUCUUGAAAGGAACAAAAAGUAAUGAGAAACCUUCCUUUUGUGUUUCCUCUGCUUCUCCUUGGGGCUUUUCCUGUGAUCAGCUCUGAAGCAUCAGGCUCCUGUACUGUAAAAGUGGUGUAAAAUUA